rnacentral:rRNA from 1 species
GAUGAACGCUGGCGGCGUGCCUAAUACAUGCAAGUCGAGCGAACGGACGAGAAGCUUGCUUCUCUGAUGUUAGCGGCGGACGGGUGAGUAACACGUGGAUAACCUACUUAUCAGACUGGGAUAACUUCGGGAAACCGUAGCUAAUACCGGAUAAUAUUUUGAACCGCAUGGUUCAUAGGUGAAAGACGGUCUUGCUGUCACUUCUAGAUGGAUCCGCGCUGCAUUAGCUAGUUGGUAAGGUAACGGCUUACCAAGGCAACGAUGCAUAGCCGACCUGAGAGGGUGAUCAGCCACCCUGGAACUGUGACACGGUCCAGACUCCUACGGGAGGCAGCAGUAGGGAAUCUGCCGCAAGGGGCGAAAGCCUGACGGAGCAACGCCGCGUGAGUGAUGAAGGUCGUCGGAUCGUAAAACUCUGUUAUUAGGGAAGAACAUAUGUGUAAGUAACUGUGCACAUCUUGACGGUACCUAAUCAGAGAGCCACGGCUAACUACGGG